AGAUACCCUGGUAGUCCAUGCCGUAAACGGUGGGCGCUAGGUGUGAGGGUCUUUUCACGACUUUCGUGCCGUAGCUAACGCAUUAAGCGCCCCGCCUGGGGAGGUACGGCCGCAAGGCUAAAACUCAAAGGAAUUGACGGGGGCCCGGCACAAGCGGCGGAGCGAUGUGGGAUUUAAAUUACGAUGCAAACGCGAAGAACCUUACCAGGCCUUGACAUGCAGAGAACUUUCCAGAGAGUCGUGGAGCGAAAGGCACGACAGGGAUAGGG
rnacentral:rRNA from 1 species